UACGUAGGGGGCAAGCGUUGUCCGGAAUCAUUGGGCGUAAAGAGCGUGUAGGCGGCCCGGUCAGUCCGCCGUGAAAGUCCAGGGCUCAACCCUGGAAUGCCGGUGGAUACUGCCGGGCUGGAGUCCGGAAGAGGCGAGUGGAAUUCCUGGUGUAGCGGUGAAAUGCGCAGAUAUCAGGAAGAACACCCGUGGCGAAGGCGGCUCUCUGGGACGGUACUGACACUGAGGCGCGAAAGCGUGGGGAGCGAACAGG
rnacentral:rRNA from 1 species